GAUAAACGCUGGCGGCGUGCCUAACACAUGCAAGUCGAACGCCCUGGAGCAAUUCAGGGAGUGGCGGACGGGUGAGGAACACGUGGGUGAUCUGCCUUGAGGUGAGGAAUACCGGCGAGAAAUCGCCGACAAUACCGCAUAGGUUCGUAAGAACAAAGUCGCAAGACGCCUUGAGAUGAGCCUGCGUCCGAUUAGCCAGUUGGUGGGGUAAUGGCCUACCAAAGCAGCGAUCGGUGGCUGGUCUGAGAGGACGAUCAGCCACACUGGGAUUGAGAACGGCCCAGACUCCUACGGGGGCAGCAGUGAGGAAUCUUGCGCAAUGGGCGAAAGCCUGACGCAGCGACGCCGCGUGAGGAUGACGCCUGGU
rnacentral:rRNA from 1 species